rnacentral:rRNA from 1 species
GACGAACGCUGGCGGCGUGCUUAACACAUGCAAGUCGAACGGAAAGGCCCUGCUUUUGUGGGGUGCUCGAGUGGCGAACGGGUGAGUAACACGUGAGUAACCUGCCCUUGCCUUUGGGAUAACUUCAGGAAACUGGGGCUAAUACCGGAUAUGAGCUCCUGCUGCAUGGUGGGGGUUGGAAAGCUUCGGCGGUUGGGGAUGGACUCGCGGCCUAUCAGCUUGUUGGUGGGGUAGUGGCUUACCAAGGCUUUGACGGGUAGCCGGCCUGAGAGGGUGACCGGCCACAUUGGGACUGAGAUACGGCCAAGACUCCUACGGGAGGCAGCAGUGGGGAAUAUUGCACAAUGGGCGGAAGCCUGAUGCAGCAACGCCGCGUGCGGGAUGACGGCCUUCGGGUUGUAACCCGCUUUCGCCUGUGACGAAGCGUGAGUGACGGUAAUGGGUAAAGAAGCACCGGCUAACUACGUG